rnacentral:rRNA from 1 species
UACGUAGGGUGCGAGCGUUGCCCGGAUUUAUUGGGCGUAAAGGGCGCGUAGGCGGCUCGGCACGUCCGUUGUGAAAUCGCCCGGCUCAACUGGGCGGGGUCAGCGGAUACGGUCGAGCUUGAGCAAGCUAGGGGGCAAUGGAAUUCCCGGUGUAGUGGUGGAAUGCGUAGAUAUCGGGAGGAACACCAGUGGCGAAGGCGGUUGCCUGGGGUUUUGCUGACGCUGAUGCGCGAAAGCGUGGGGAGCGAUCCGG